AUAUAUGCAAUGAAAAGGAAGUAGUAGCAUAGCAACCAUCUUAGAGAGUCCCUGUCUGGUGAAAAGGGAUAUGGCCAGUAUGUGAACUCGUCUUUGGAGCAUGGGCACGAACCCCGGUUGGACGCGUUAUAGUUCCUGAAAGUGAAGCUUAGGCUUAAUUAGAGUGGUACCACGGAUGUUUACUUCGUCUCUUAU
rnacentral:ncRNA from 1 species